GUGAGGAAUUUUGGACAAUGGGGGCAACCCUGAUCCAGCGACGCCGCGUGAAGGAUGAAGGUUUUCGAAUUGUAAACUUCUUUUAGAGGGGAAGAAAUGCCCGCAAGGGAGUUGACAGUACCCUCAGAAAAAGCCACGGCUAACUACGUGCCAGCAGCCGCGGUAAUACGUAGGUGGCGAGCGUUACUCGGAAUUACUAGGCGUAAAGCGCGUGUAGAUGGUUUGAUAAGUCGGACGUGAAAGCUCCCGGCUUAACUGGGAGAGGUCGUUCGAUACUAUCUGGCUUGAAUAUGGGAGGGGAAUCUGGAAUUCCUGGUGUAGCGGUGAAAUGCGUAGAUAUCAGGAGGAAUACCUAUGGCGAAGGCAGGAUUCUGGCCCAUUAUUGACAUUGAGACGCGACAGCUAGGGGAGCAAACAGGAUUAGAUACCCCUGUAGUCC
rnacentral:rRNA from 1 species